GAACAUGUGAUGAUGAGCAACUUCAUUGUGUACUAGGGUUUCUGAUAACAUUACGCAAUGUUUGAUGAACAAACCAUUGGCUGUCUGAGCCCCUCA
rnacentral:snoRNA from 1 species